UCCUGGCUCAGGACGAACGCUGGCGGCGUGCUUAACACAUGCAAGUCGAACGGUAAGGCCCCUUUUUUUUGGGGUGUACGAGUGGCGAACGGGUGAGUAACACGUGAGUAACCUGCCCCAGACUUUGGGAUAACAGUUGGAAACGAUUGCUAAUACUGGAUAUGAGCUGCUGCCGCAUGGUGGUGGUUUGAAAGUUCCGGCGGUUUGGGAUGGGCUCGCGGCCUAUCAGCUUGUUGGUGAGGUGAUGGCUUACCAAGGCUUCGACGGGUAGCCGGCCUGAGAGGGCGACCGGCCACAUUGGGACUGAGAUACGGCCCAAACUCCUACGGGAGGCAGCAGUGGGGAAUAUUGCACAAUGGACGGAAGUCUGAUGCAGCAACGCCGCGUGCGGGAUGACGGCCUUCGGGUUGUAAACCGCUUUCAUCCAUGACGAAGCUUUUGUGACGGUAGUGGGUAAAGAAGCACCGGCUAACUACGUGCCAGCAGCCGCGGUGAUACGUAGGGUGCGAGCGUUGUCCGGAUUUAUUGGGCGUAAAGAGCUUGUAGGCGGUUUGUCGCGUCGGGAGUGAAAACUCGGAGCUUAACUUUGAGCUUGCUUUCGAUACGGGCUGACUUGAGGGAGGUAGGGGAGAAUGGAAUUCCUGGUGGAGCGGUGGAAUGCGCAGAUAUCAGGAGGAACACCGGUGGCGAAGGCGGUUCUCUGGACCUUUCCUGACGCUGAGAAGCGAAAGCGUGGGGAGCGAACAGGCUUAGAUACCCUGGUAGUCCACGCCGUAAACGGUGGGUACUAGGUGUGGGGGACAUUCCACGUUCUCCGUGCCGUAGCUAACGCAUUAAGUACCCCGCCUGGGGAGUACGGCCGCAAGGCUAAAACUCAAAGGAAUUGACGGGGCCCCGCACAAGCGGCGGAGCAUGCGGAUUAAUUCGAUGCAACGCGAAGAACCUUA
rnacentral:rRNA from 1 species